GAGGAGGUAGCUUACUGGCACAGCACUUGCUUAGCAUGCAUGAGACCCUAGGUUCCAUUCCUAGCAUCUCA
rnacentral:tRNA from 1 species